UACGUAGGGGCCAAGCGUUGUCCGGAUUUAUUGGGCGUAAAGGGCGCGUAGGCGGCGUGACAAGUCACUUGUGAAAUCUCUGGGCUUAACCCAGAACGGCCAAGUGAAACUGUUGUGCUAGAGUGCAGAAGGGGCAAUCGGAAUUCUCGGUGUAGCGGUGAAAUGCGUAGAUAUCGAGAGGAACACCAGAGGUGAAGACGGGUUGCUGGGCUGACACUGACGCUGAGGCGCGAAAGCCAGGGGAGCAAACGGG
rnacentral:rRNA from 1 species